rnacentral:rRNA from 1 species
GCAGUCGAGCGAUGAACCCCUUCGGGGGUGGAUUAGCGGCGGACGGGUGAGUAACACGUGGGUAACCUGCCUCAAAGUGGGGGAUAGCCUUCCGAAAGGAAGAUUAAUACCGCAUAAAGCCAAGUUUCACAUGGAAUUUGGAUGAAAGGAGUAAUUCGCUUUGAGAUGGACCCGCGGCGCAUUAGUUAGUUGGUGGGGUAAUGGCCUACCAAGACAGCGAUGCGUAGCCGACCUGAGAGGGUGAUCGGCCACAUUGGAACUGAGAUACGGUCCAGACUCCUACGGGAGGCAGCAGUGGGGAAUAUUGCACAAUGGGCGAAAGCCUGAUGCAGCAACGCCGCGUGAGUGAUGAAGGUCUUCGGAUUGUAAAGCUCUGUCUUUUGGGACGAUAAUGACGGUACCAAAGGAGGAAGCCACGGCUAACUACGUGCCAGCAGCCGCGGUAAUACGUAGGUGGCAAGCGUUGUCCGGAUUUACUGGGCGUAAAGGGUGCGUAGGCGGAUGUUUAAGUGAGAUGUGAAAUACCCGGGCUUAACUUGGGUGCUGCAUUUCAAACUGGAUAUCUAGAGUGCAGGAGAGGAGAAUGGAAUUCCUAGUGUAGCGGUGAAAUGCGUAGAGAUUAGGAAGAACACCAGUGGCGAAGGCGAUUCUCUGGACUGUAACUGACGCUGAGGCACGAAAGCGUGGGUAGCAAACAGGAUUAGAUACCCUGGUAGUCCACGCCGUAAACGAUGAGUACUAGGUGUAGGAGGUAUCGACCCCUUCUGUGCCGCAGUAAACACAUUAAGUACUCCGCCUGGGAAGUACGAUCGCAAGAUUAAAACUCAAAGGAAUUGACGGGGGCCCGCACAAGCAGCGGAGCAUGUGGUUUAAUUCGAAGCAACGCGAAGAACCUUACCUGGACUUGACAUCCCCUGAAUAACCUAGAGAUAGGCGAAGCCCUUCGGGGCAGGGAGACAGGUGGUGCAUGGUUGUCGUCAGCUCGUGUCG